UGAAUAACACCGCCGGGUGUAAACAAAAAUAGUACUCUUAAUAAUUCCGUAGGCCAAUGUGGAAUUAUUAGGGGUACUUUUAUUUU
rnacentral:ncRNA from 1 species